rnacentral:rRNA from 1 species
UACGUAGGGUGCGAGCGUUGUCCGGAAUUAUUGGGCGUAAAGAGCUUGUAGGCGGUUUGUCGCGUCUGCUGUGAAAUUUCGGGGCGUCACCCGAACCUUGCAGUGGGUACGGGGCAGACUAGAGUGUGGUAGGGGAGACUGGAAGUUCCUGGUGUAGCGGUGAAAUGCGCAGAUAAUCAGGAGGAACACCGAUGGCGAAGGCAGGUCUCUGGGCCACUACUGACGUGAGAAGCGAAAGCAUGGGGGAGCGAACAGG